AAAUCGUUUGAAGAUGAAGAACUUAUAGAAGAAGAAAGAAGACUUUUUUAUGUAGCUAUGACUAGAGCUAUGGAAAAGUUAUAUAUAUCCUAUAUAAGAA
rnacentral:sRNA from 1 species